rnacentral:tRNA from 1 species
GGACGUAACUCAGUGGUAGAGCAUUUGUCUAGCAUGUGUAAGAGCCUAGGUUCAAUCCCUAGCACUG